GGGCAAGACCGUGGUGGAUUCAGGGAAUAGUGGCGGCGGCGGCGCCAUGGUUGUACACCAGCGCGUCGUCCGCGACACCGGCGGGGCCUGGCCCAUGCUGAUGCGCACGAACUACGCGGACUGGGCCCUCCUGAUGCAAGUAAUGCUGGAGGCGCGCCAGCUCUGGGUUGCCGUCAACGACGGGACGGCGGAGCGAGAAACAGAUCGCACGGCAAUGGAGUGCCUGCUGCGAUCAGUGCCGCCGGAGAUGACGUCCACGCUCGCCGUCAAGCCCACGGCGAAGGACGCAUGGGGCACGAUCAAGACAAUGCGCCUGGGCGUGGCGCGCGUUCAUGAGGCCAAGGCGACGUCAGUACGCCGCCAGUACGAGGCGAUCAGGUUCAACGCCGCCGAGAGCAUCGACGACUUCGGUAUGCGCCUAUCUUCUCUGGUAACACAACUUGAGCUGCUUGGUGACAAGAUUGGCGAGCCCGCUGUCGUCCGCAAGUUCCUCUCAGUCGUUCCCAAGGCCUACUCGCAGAUGGCGUGUGCGAUCGAGACGCUGGUCGACCUCAAUACGCUG
rnacentral:rRNA from 1 species